rnacentral:rRNA from 1 species
AGCGCGGGGGGUAACUCCUGGCGGCGAGUGGCGAACGGGUGAGUAAUAUAUCGGAACGUGCCCUGGAGUGGGGGAUAACUAGUCGAAAGAUUAGCUAAUACCGCAUACGAUCUACGGAUGAAAGUGGGGGAUUCGCAAGAACCUCAUGCUCGUGGAGCGGCCGAUAUCUGAUUAGCUAGUUGGUAGGGUAAAAGCCUACCAAGGCGACGAUCAGUAGCUGGUUUGAGAGAACGACCAGCCACACUGGGACUGAGACACGGCCCAGACUCCUACGGGAGGCAGCAGUGGGGAAUUUUGGACAAUGGGGGCAACCCUGAUCCAGCAAUGCCGCGUGUGUGAAGAAGGCCUUCGGGUUGUAAAGCACUUUUGUCAGGGAAGAAACGGUGAGGGCUAAUAUCCUUUGCUAAUGACGGUACCUGAAGAAUAAGCACCGGCUAACUACGUGCCAGCAGCCGCGGUAAUACGUAGGGUGCAAGCGUUAAUCGGAAUUACUGGGCGUAAAGCGUGCGCAGGCGGUUGUGUAAGUCAGAUGUGAAAUCCCCGGGCUCAACCUGGGAAUUGCAUUUGAGACUGCACGGCUAGAGUGUGUCAGAGGGGGGUAGAAUUCCACGUGUAGCAGUGAAAUGCGUAGAGAUGUGGAGGAAUACCGAUGGCGAAGGCAGCCCCCUGGGAUA